UCCACCGCCACCUCCCCUUCCCUUCUCCCUCUUCGCCUGCCUCAGUCGCCCUCUCCGCCACUGCUCCUUAUAGUCUCUGCUACGUUCUAGUCGUCCAAAGGCGCUAAAUGUUCUAGUUUUGCAAAAAACCAUCUGGGUUUCCUGAAAUCAGUCCGCAGUCCUCUUCCGCGCUGACUCCGUCCCUCCCACGAAGCCUUCUCCCUCUCACGAAGAACCAAACGCAUGCAGCAAGGACGUCAUGACGGCGGCGACGGGCUCUGGCAGGCUCAACGCCGGAGGGAAAAACGGAUCUGAGGUUCUGUAUGGAUGUUUGAUGUUGCGAUUGGGCAUGGGGAGGACGACUAGCGACGGGCCGAUGGCGCUGGAUGAGCGAGCUACAAGCGGAAAUUGAUCGAGAGAAAUCGACGAUGACCACCCAGCAGGUUUUGCCGUUGUGAGGUCCUCCGCCUUUCCUAUGACGCCAUCUUGCUGCCACUAGAGCAUAUGUGAGGUCAGAAAUUGCUUACACCACCAUGCAGCUCAAGUUCUCUCUACAUAUCUCUAUAUGAUUUCCCUAUUUUCUUCUAUUUUGUACCUGGUAAUUUGUAUCUGACGUAUGGAUGCUAGGUUGCUUCCUUUUGUCUAAGAAUGCAAAACAACAAUGAUAUAAGCAAGACAUGGUUAGUUUUUGUUUGAUAUGGACUUCUGUUUUUCUGAUUUUCUUUUCAACCUGAUUGCAACGUAGUACUAGGCAGUGAUUGAUGCCAAUGCAAAUAUGUUCUCAUUCACUCUUAAUUAGAAUUUGAGUUAUGGACCUAUGAUGCUUUAGGUUUGGAUCUGAUUAAAUGAUGUUAUGUUUCAUUUUUUUUCACCCAAGGAUUUUAGAAAAUUAAUUGGGCCACUACUUUGCUUAUAGGGGUUAUUGUAGGAUUGAUAAGUUAUUUGGAGUUCAACAUACAAAUAGAAUGCCUGAUCACGAUAGGAAAGAAGUAAAUAGUCACCAUUAUAUGAUGCUUGGACGAAAGCAGUUCUGUUUUGUUAGGGAGCAUAGUUUGACGUGUAAAAAGAAAUUCAUUGUUGGUGUAAACCAUAUUGGCAUUGAUUUUCUUUACUCAUAAACUAUUAUGUUAUAUGCCACAAAUGAUUGCUAAUAACUCCAUCUACUGUUCACGCUACUGGACAAAAAAAAGUUGGUCUGCAAUGUAACUCAAUCUGCGAUAUUGCGUAAAGGUCAGUAAUGUCUCCUCGCCCCGAUUGUACCACGUCAUGCAUUUUGCUUAGGUUUAUGCAUAGUGCUUGUCACAAUCCAUACACAGGAUUAAAUUCUAAUGAUCUCCCAUUACCUAAAGCAGCCUUCCUGUAUGUGCUUUAUUCUUUCUUAAUUUCUUCCUGUUUUUAAUAAUUGGAAUAAUAAUUUUAAAUAUGUACUAGAAGGGAUGAUCUACGCCCUAUGAUUUUAGUUCCUCCAGGUUAGAACAAACUUUAUCAAAUAUUGAUGCAUAUAACUCUGCUCCAAAUAUAGUGGAACUAUUCAAUAUGAGUCAGAUAGUUGUCUAACUAUUUAGCAUUCACAUUUGUUUUUGUUCUCUAACUGUUUUGACAUAGUUUCUUUGCUUUGUAUAAGAUCUUUGUUCUACUUGUUAGCCAUACUUGCUUAGCUGUCUGCUGAGAACAGCUAGCUUUGCAUGUAAAAUAGCGUCGUUACAUAGGCAUGUGCAGAGAUUGUAGUCAAACUUUGGACAAAACAGUUGCCUGGCUCCCAGUUCUCUGCUUUAUGUAUGAUUUAAGAGGUGUGGUUACUAUUUUUCAGGUAACUUCUAUCUGCAAGAAAAAAAGAAUAUGUCAUCUGUUGCUGGCUAGGGCUUGAAGUUACUGCAUUCUCUUGUGUGCAUCUGCGAUAAUUUGCGAUGGUUUGGUGUCAGAUUGAAGAUUAGUUAUCGUUGAGUUAUAUAGUUAAGGUCAUAAUAGGGCAUGCAAGGCCACAUGGUCAGCUGUAUCAAUAUGCAUGCCGUUAGUAGACUGAUUUGCUUUGUGAAAUGACACUGGUUCUAAACAUCAUGGCUGGAUCCUAUUAACAAGCAAAAUGGGCAAUAAUCUGCCAUGAAUUUGUUCUCGUAAUGAACUUUGACCGCAUUUAUU